rnacentral:rRNA from 1 species
UACAGAGGUCUCAAGCGUUGUUCGGAUUCAUUGGGCGUAAAGGGUGUGUAGGUGGCGCUGUAAGUCGGGUGUGAAAUUUCGGAGCUUAACUCCGAAACUGCAUUCGAUACUGCGGUGCUUGAGGACUGGAGAGGAGACUGGAAUUCAUGGUGUAGCAGUGAAAUGCGUAGAGAUCAUGAGGAAGACCAGUGGCGAAGGCGGGUCUCUGGACCGAAAUUGACGCUGAGGAGCGAAGGCCAGGGGAGCAAACGGG